GUGGUGGGUGCGUCCGGUGCUAUAGCGUGAGGAGGGGCUGACAGGGUUAGGCGACUUCGGCUGCCGCUGCGGGCUGCGGCACGGGGAGGUGAAGGAAGCAGCGGCUACGGGACGAGGGGUUGGCCGUUGUUACAGAGGGGAAGGAAGUUGCGGCGGAUGAAGAUGACGCACUUGUGCAACUGGACUGGACCUACCACGUCUUAGCUGAUGGACCGGUGGUGACGGCGACCGAGCGCAUCUGGUUCUACUUACGUUGCGCUACACCGCGUCAGCACAGGCAGCCGGCUCGUGUUUAGUCCCCAACUGUGGACGUGGCCGUUCGGCAGGGGUCGCGUAUCUAGCGGCUGCGGGACGAGGGGAGUGGAGGAAGAGGAGGGAGGUGGACGGUAGAUUUCAACUUAGCCUAGGUCACCAGAGGGUGACGGCGAUUACAGGAGUUGCUGGGUGAGGUUGCGUCCCCACGUCCAGCUCCAGGUAUACAGGGGUUCAAGAGGGUACAAACGGAAGCCAAGGUGGGUCCGAUCUCCUCUCCGUCAUCGUAGUGCUACGCCUACCGCCCCACCAUCCGCCGUCGCACCGUCGUCCUACCACAACCGUCGACAAUGCUUUUCCUUUACUAUAUCCCUAAACUAUACUUUACCUCCUUUCCUUCAAGAAACAUUCGAUGAACGUCUGCUUCUCCUUCAUAGAUCUCAGUAACUACACGUCAAUUUUGCGCUGUGAGAAUCAACAUGUCAUGGUACAGUCUCCUGGUGGAGUUUUAGAAAAGACAACGUCUUUAAAUACAUUUUAAGAAAAUUCGAAAUGUAAAAAUACCUGUGUGCUUCGGUACAUUUUUAAACAUGUAGCACACUAAAAUUCUAUGAGGCCCAGAACCCUAUUGAGCACUGACCACUAAAAUAUGACUGUUCACGUUAACGCGUUAUUCAAUAUUGCAAUAUAGAAUG
rnacentral:rRNA from 1 species